rnacentral:rRNA from 1 species
AUUGAACGCUGGCGGCAUGCCUAACACAUGCAAGUAGAACGCGUGGCGGUCGGGAGAGUAAUGUCUGGGAAACUGCAUGAUGGAGGGGGAUAACUACUGGAAACGGUAGCUAAUACCGCAUACCAUCGGAUGUGCCCAGGUGGGAUUAGCUAGUAGGUGGGGUAACGGCUCACCUGGGCAACGAUCCCUAGCUGCUCUGAGAGGAUGACCAGCAACACGGGAACUGAGACACGGUCAAGACUCCUACGGGAGGCAGCAGUGGGGAAUAUUGCAAAAUGGGGGAAAGCCUGACGCAGCAAUGCGGCGUGUAUGAAGAAGGCUUUCGGGUUGUAAAGUACGUUCAGAAGGGAGGCGUUACCUGACCAAGAAGCAACGGCUAACUACGUGCCAGCAGCCGCGGUAAUAC